UACGUAGGGUGCGAGCGUUAAUCGGAAUUACUGGGCAUAAAGCGUGCGCAGGCGGUUCGUUGUGUCGGCGGUGAAAGCCCCGGGCUUAACCUGGGAAUGGCCGUUGAAACUGGCGAACUGGAGUGUGGCAGAGGGGGGUGGAAUUCCGCGUGUAGCAGUGAAAUGCGUAGAGAUGCGGAGGAACACCGAUGGCGAAGGCAGCCCCCUGGGCUAACACUGACGCUCAGGCACGAAAGCGUGGGGAGCAAACAGG
rnacentral:rRNA from 1 species